GGCGAACGGGUGAGUAACACGUGGGCAAUCUGCCCUGCACUCUGGGACAAGCCCUGGAAACGGGGUCUAAUACCGGAUACGACCACUGAGGGCAUCCUCGGUGGUGGAAAGCUCCGGCGGUGCAGGAUGAGCCCGCGGCCUAUCAGCUUGUUGGUGGGGUGAUGGCCUACCAAGGCGACGACGGGUAGCCGGCCUGAGAGGGCGACCGGCCACACUGGGACUGAGACACGGCCCAGACUCCUACGGGAGGCAGCAGUGGGGAAUAUUGCACAAUGGGCGAAAGCCUGAUGCAGCGACGCCGCGUGAGGGAUGACGGCCUUCGGGUUGUAAACCUCUUUCAGCAGGGAAGAAGCGAAAGUGACGGUACCUGCAGAAGAAGCGCCGGCUAACUACGUGCCAGCAGCCGCGGUAAUACGUAGGGCGCGAGCGUUGUCCGGAAUUAUUGGGCGUAAAGAGCUCGUAGGCGGCUUGUCGCGUCGGUUGUGAAAGCCCGGGGCUUAACCCCGGGUCUGCAGUCGAUACGGGCAGGCUAGAGUUCGGUA
rnacentral:rRNA from 4 species